rnacentral:rRNA from 1 species
GGGGGACCUUCGGGCCUCUUGCCAUCGGAUGUGCCCAGAUGGGAUUAGCUUGUUGGUGGGGUAACGGCUCACCAAGGCGACGAUCCCUAGCUGGUCUGAGAGGAUGACCAGCCACACUGGAACUGAGACACGGUCCAGACUCCUACGGGAGGCAGCAGUGGGGAAUAUUGCACAAUGGGCGCAAGCCUGAUGCAGCCAUGCCGCGUGUAUGAAGAAGGCCUUCGGGUUGUAAAGUACUUUCAGCGGGGAGGAAGGGAGUAAAGUUAAUACCUUUGCUCAUUGACGUUACCCGCAGAAGAAGCACCGGCUAACUCCGUGCCAGCAGCCGCCGUAAUCCGGAGGGUCAAGCUCCAAUCGGAAUUACUGGGCGUAAAGCGCACGCAGGCGGUUG